AGUAAUUGCACUGGGGAAAAGGGUAAGAAUAACCCAAUAUUUGUUGGAUGCAGGGUCUGAAUUCACAGUGAUACCUGGGGUCCAAAGCACCUUGUAUAAUGGAUGCAUAUGGCAGCCGGGUAAUAAAUGGAGUCCUGGCCAAGGUUUGGCUCACAGUGGGUCAACAAUGUCAUUUGUUGAGCCUCUGAAUAUUUUAUUAGAGCGAAUACUUAGUACUUCAUAAAAUCCCUCGCGUUGUGUUUCUGACCUACAGGACAAGAAUCAUAGUGGGAGAGACAAAAAAAGAAAGAAAGAAAGAAGGAAGAGAGAAGAGAAGAAAAGGAAAAGAAAAGGAAAACACCAAUUCAACUUGCCAGAAACAGCGACCAACACUGAGCUCCUGAUAUGGCACAAUCCCUCCAGGAGACCAGCCUGGCACAUGAUGACAAGUUGAUCACGCUAGGCACAGUAACAGACAUAUUCCAGUGUAUGGUUUUGACUUACCCCUCCCAGAUCCUUAAUGUCCUUUUGCAGUUUUUCAGAUAUGGUGACAGAAG